rnacentral:misc_RNA from 1 species
AACGAUACUUUCGUACUAGAGUGCCCACACGAGUAAUCAAAAAUAUUAAAAGAAGUUCUUUAUAAGUUUUGGUAUGUAAUUUUCUAGUGUUUAUAUCUUUUUGAUAUAUACACCAGUGUCAUAUCUUUUAGAUAUGUACACGUAGAUCACUGCAUUUAAUAGAAGAAAAUUUUAUUAAGUUAUUCUCAAACAAUAACAAAAAAACUUAGUCCGCUUAAAAGGAGGACUAAGUAUAUAACCCUUUUUG